ACAGAGUGAGACAUCUUCUCUAGAAAGUAUCGUUUUGGGCCACUAGAGAGUGCUCUCGCAUAUAGACAAGCUUUGUCGUUUUUCUCUCCGUGAAAAGCAGGUUGGUCUCACGGCAGAAACGAAACGGGAAAACCCUCAUAAACACGCUGAAAGUUGCUCUAAACGCGUGUUUCUCGGGAAAUUAUCGUCUUUAUACCACAUAUUUUUUUUUACAAGAAAGCUUCAUAAAGCAAGAAAAGUUUUCUUCAUUGGUUCGCUGGCUGUGUAGCAGCAUACAGACACGUAUUGUGAGGGCAGCAUAAGCAUGGUUUAUGAUUUAAUAUAUCUUUGAAAAAUUUACAGUGUAUAUAAAACUGCCAAUGCAUGGAGGGAGAUGACCACAUACAACCCCAUUGGAAAUCCAUUGGAUUGUAGCUGCUCUGCUAAAUGGUGUAUUACUUGAUACAAAUCUGCCAGAUUUCGCUUACCUCCCACGAGGAACAUCGAUGUCAUCUUUCCUCCAGCGCACGUUGGGCUGAGGGUCUCCUUGUACCUGGCAGCGGAACUCCACCAUCUCAUCCUCCAGCACCACCUGGUUGAUGGGCCUGCGGAGGAAGUAGAUGGUAGGUUCGGGGUGGCCUCUGGGAGGGACACACUCCAAGAUGGCUGGUUCUCCCGCCGCCACCACCACAUCUGUGGGGUUCUGUCGGAAAUCGUCUCGCAGCACUGAAGAGAAGACAGAAAAACAGUUUUUAACAAUCUGGAUUACUUAAAGCCCAAGCGAAUGGAGGUGUGAUAUUGGCUGCUGUAAAGUGAGAGGGACGCCAAGCGAGGUUAGCAAAACCGCUGGCAUGAAUCAGAACGAGGCAUGCAUCAACAAAGUGGAGACUGUGGAGUUUGAUACUGCAGCAUCCAGAGUUAAGAUACAUCAACGGGAUGAGAUCAUGACGUUGCAUGGAAAUCUGGAUUGUUAAGAGACUUCUAGUCCAUAAUUGAUUAGAAGCUCACAGAGUUGAAGUGAAUACUGGAUACGGAAUACGGGAGCAAGUGAAGUGCUGGCGGAGAAGUGGAUUUACGUGGAAAUAGCCCACAGGACGCUGGCCUCAUCUUUCUCAGCCUUCGCUUUGCUGGGGCAUCACUGCGGCCUGGAGAGUCAUUCUCUCCGAUGGCCACAUGGCAAUUUUCACCACGAAGAAAGGGAAACAAGCACAUAUAAACGCACUCAAAUCUUUUUUUGCUCUGUCGGGCACAUCUGCUUCUGUGCUGGUUAUUAGCACACACUUAAAAUACAUGUCCAAAAAUAAGCCAUCUGCAGAUGAUCAAAGUCUCUCUGCUGUGGUUAAAACAAAGCCCAGAUCCAACGGGAACGAGAGGCACAAAAAAAAAAAAAAAACUGAGGUGAAAGACAGGAGGAGGAACGGCUGCCAAAACAUAAAAAAAAAAUGCAAUGGAAAAAAAAAAUUCCACAGUUCAUAAAAGCCAAAAAAGCAGAAAAUGGAGUAUUUACACAGAAGUCAUUAACAGAGAAACAGCGGCAAUAAAAAGGGAAUUUGAGGGUACUUAUUCCUCAUUUGUUUUCUCGACUUCGCCAUGCAUCCCCGUCUCCAUCUCCUUCCACUCUAAUAGAAUAUAUUUAGCAUAUUAACGCACGCGUAAAUGCCCGCGGCUGUGCAAAGGUCACAGGUGAGAAAAUGCAUAAGGAUGAGGCCAGGCUCUGUAAUAACUGCUGGAAUACACAUUACUGCUUCAACACUCCAUCGAUAUUUGCUUGCCGGACAAAUAAAGUAAAACGAGAUAAGAAAAAGGUAUAUUGUAUAUAACAUAACACACCUGAACGUCUGCAAAUCAAUGAUUGUAGCCCGGGUGCUAAUGUGUAAUCAUCACAGCAUGCUAAGGUGAAUUUAGUAGUCCAUAAAAUAAGUAGAAACACAAGAAGAUGUGGACCCCCACUAGUUUUCAAUAUGUCUAUGCACUAUAGAAACAACCAUCCUUCCUUUAUUCGUGCUAAUAAUGUCAUCACUACUUCUAAAUUGAAGAAAGAGAUAACAUUUUUGGCCUAUGUUGACAUCUAAACAAACUAAAUUGAAAAAUGAUCCAUAAAGUGUCAUCUCUAAGGUAGAUGGCUGUCAAUUAUACUCUGGGUUCCUGGGUGGGCUGCAAAUGGAAAACGCAAGGACAGCACAAUAAGCCAAAUGACACCAUAAUAUAAUAUAAUAUAAUAUAAUAUAAUAUAAUAUAAUAUAAUAUAAUAUAAUAUAAUAUAAUAUAAUAUAAUAUAA